GCUGGGAUUUGGGCAGGCUGGGCAGGAAGGCUGGGGGGUCCGAGCCCCCAAAUCAGCCCCGAUCCAGCCGCUUCCCUUCCCUCCGUUUAUCCGUGUUUUUCCUUCCUUUUAUUUUAUUUCCCCCUGACUUUUCCCUCCAAAAAUGGGGGGAAAGACACUGCUUUUCCUUGCUGUUUUUUUUGUUUUAAUUAUUCGGGCCCCUAAUGACGCGCAGCGACGGCUCCAAAGACAUCAAAGCACAAAAAGGAUGGCACAGGGUGGGGAAGCCCCGUUGGUUUCCCGACGCCCCCCAAAACCUUUUUUCCCCCCGGGAUGAGCGCGGGGCUGGAAGCGGCCGGCCCUGCCUGCCCUGCCCGCGCCGGCAGCAGCGGAGGCAAAAAGUGCAUUUAUUGACGAUCUUAAAGAAAAAACCAACCGGACAACUCGGGGGUGAGAUGAGACUAAUUAUUAGUGGUUCUAAAAAGAGCUGGAACACCCAAGUAGGGCUUAACCCGUCUCCUGGGAAACUGAUGGAGACCUAUUUUACAAGCUGUAAUUCUGCUUUAGACUAUCGCGGGCUCAAGGCGGUUCACACUAUUCCCUUUCUUCCAGAAAUAGUCCUAAUCCUAUAUUUCGGCCGGAGAAAGUCCGCUUCGGCUCCGCACUAGACUAAUCCAGAAACCACAUAAAACCAGAUUCCUGCAUCCACAUCCCGGCUGCCGGGAGCUCCCUACCUGUCCGAGCACCGCCCGUGCAAGGCCGGACAAGGAGCUCACCCUGCCUGGGGAAGGAGCAGCUUUCCACGGGGUUUUCUCCCACCAGCACUGAAAAGAAUGAUCCUUUAUCCCUGCUGGAAAACAGCUGCCAAGUGCCACAGCCCGCAGGAGUGGGAACGUGGGGGUUUUAUUUCCCACCCCGGUUCCGAAGGCAGCGACACCGAGGGAUUUCAGAGACCUUGGAAUGCUUUGCCUGUCCCUGCCAGGCUCCCGCUCGGUGCUUCCGCGCCUGCCUGAUCCCACACUGAUCCCACACUGCCCUUCCCUCUCCUUUAUUUAUUUAACUAAUGGACAAGGAGUCGGUGUCAGGGGGAGCUGGGACAAAUUGGGCUUCGCCCGUGCGCUGCUGCCGUGUCCUCAUCCCUAUUAAAGGCAAAGAUUCCCAUCUC